CCUACGGGAGGCAGCAGUGGGGAAUAUUGCGCAAUGGGCGAAAGCCUGACGCAGCGACGCCGCGUGAGGGAUGAAGGUCUUCGGAUCGUAAACCUCUGUCAGCAGGGAAGAACGGUCACUGUGCUAAUCAGCAGUGAAUUGACGGUACCUGCAAAGGAAGCACCGGCUAACUCCGUGCCAGCAGCCGCGGUAAUACGGUGGGUGCGAGCGUUAAUCGGAAUUACUGGGCGUAAAGCGGUCGUAGGCGGUAUGUCAAGUCAAGGGUGAAAUCCCCGCGCUCAACGUGGGAACUGCCUUUGAAACUGGCAAACUGGAGUGUGUGAGAGGAUAGUGGAAUGCCAGGUGUAGGAGUGAAAUGCGUAGAUAUCUGGAGGAACAUCAGUGGCGAAGGCGACUAUCUGGCACAUAACUGACGCUGAGGAGCGAAAGCGUGGGUAGCAAACAGGAUUAGAUACCCCAGUAGUC
rnacentral:rRNA from 1 species